CUUCAGUAGAUGAAAACACGAAGCUUCCGACAUCAACAAAAUAUAUGAAUUCCAAAGGUUACAACUCCAAUAAAUAGCUCCAACAAGAUCUGCGACAUGAACACUCGAAAGACGACCUCGACUCUCUUUGUGGUGAUUUAAGAUCUGAUUGGAGUUGGUUCUUGGACUGGUUUACAGCUGAGCUUAAGCUCUGUUUCGCCUGUUUCCAUGGAGUUUCAAGGCUAUUUUAUGGCUUAUUUUGCUGGGUUUUAGGUUGGAAAAUAGAGCUGGUUUUGAAUGAUUUUGGUCGAAUUAGAGGGUUGUUUUUGGUUGCGUUUUGGGGGUGUUCCAGGAAUGAUUUUUGAGUUGAUUUUGCAGUCGCUUCAAGCUAUAUCAUUGGGAGAAGACAAGGUGGUUUAUGGGGUUAAGUUUGGAGUGUUUAAUGCAGCUUUUUAUUUGUGUUUCAAUGAGCUCCCAUGGUGAAAAGGCUGCGUUUUGGGGUUGUUACAGGAAUGAUUUUUGAGUUGUUUUUGCAGUAGCUUCAAGCUAUAUCUCUGGGAGAAGACAAGGUGGUUUAUGGGGUGAAGUUUGGAUUGUUUAAUGGAGCUUUUUAUUUGUGUUUCAAUGAGCUCCCAUGGUGAAAACGGGAAGAAGAAAAACUGUCGAGAUGGUGAAGAAAACCAAUAGCUGCGUAGCUUCUUCAAGCCUCCCUUUUGUGUGUAUAGGCGUGUGUUUAUCUCUUGUGUAUCUAUCCGUAUAUGUGUGUUAGGGUUUGUAGGUGGGGAAUGGGUUUGGGUAUUGGGUUGGGUCGGGUCGAUCCGGUUUGGGUUUGGGUAGGGGCUAAUUUGGGUAGGGUUUAAAAGAGAAAUUGUAUUGGACUUGAAUUUUAAUAGAA
rnacentral:lncRNA from 1 species